AAUGAGGGUCUCUUUCCAUUUCCAUGCGAUUCCCCUUUUCUCUCUCUUUCCCUCCCAUCUCGUGCCUCUGUUUAAUGUCAAUCUUUUCUUCCUGCUCUUCCUUAAUAUAUAUUUCUUAAAAUGAGUUUAUUCUAUUGCACUGUUAAUUCUGAAGAGCUGAGGCAAAGAGAUGGAAACAAAUAAGGAUUUCCUUAGAAAUUUUAUGCAUUGCAGAUACUGUUCAUACUCCAUUAUAUGACUGUUCUGGUACUGCUUCUAUAGCUGAAGGCUGAAGGCUUUGUCAUCUAAACCAAUUUACUUUUUUUUACCCAAUUCCCUUGCUUCCAGAGGUUCUUCAAUAUAUCUUUCUGGUGUGGCAGUUGUGAAGACAUGAUAGAACUUAUUCUUUUUUUUUUUUUAAAUCUGAAGUUGGCAUUUUAAAAACUGUUAGAGAAGACACAAAUGACAUCAGAUGAAAAUAUUUAGAGCAUAUUAUACAACAAUAAAAUGGAAACUUCCCAUUGUUAGGCACUGGGCAAAAGAUAUUUUAUAAUUUUUUAUUGGUGCAUGAUAACUAUAAUGAGGGGAUCUAUUAUGCUGUACAUGUACAAAACAAAAUUUGGUCUAUUUAUUCUCCUGGGUUCAUAAAAUUUGUUGCAUACCUUUUUAAUUGUAUUCUUCUAUACCUUAGGCAAACAAAAAAGCUAAAAGUAUUUGUUUUUCCUUACAAUGAUCUUUGCAAUUAAAACCUUACAUAUGUAAUACUUGCAAGCAUAUACAGCAAAUAUAUUCUUUUUUCCCUCUUGUUAGUAUUGUAAAACAUUUCUAAAUCUUCAAAUUUUAUUAUAUUUUUAGGAAAUAAUAAGCUUAUGAGUCUAGGGAAAUACUUGGGAGAAUUGUGGUGGCAUAAUAGUAUUUCAGUGCAGAUAUAAUAAUUGAAUGACUAAUGUAUAUGAGUUUCUUGUAUUCUACAAGAGUCAGAAUGAAAUUAAUCAUGUAUUACUUUUCAUUCUUUUUAUUUGUAUUGUUUUAAUCUUUCCUGAAAUCUAAUUAGAGAAACAUAAGCACAUUGAUUUUUAAUGAGUUUAUUAGGAUGUUUUAAAAAUGGUUUCUUUGAUAAAACAGCUGUUUUCCUAGGGGAAAUUUGCAAAAACACAUUUGGUAAAUAUAGUCUUAAAUGUUUUAGUAUGGAAUAAAUUAUAUGUUCAUUUUUUCAGUGUUUAAGAGUAAUAAAGAAGGAGAUAUUAAAAUGCUUUAUAUAUUAAUUAGAAGAAGCAUUUUUAAAGUACAUUUGAGAAUUCACUCUAUGCAGUGUCUCAAUGUAACUGUUUUCUGACAUUUUCUUGAUUAAAUAUAGAGAUUGUUAGCCAUGAGUUUGAACUAUAUAGAAAGAUGACUAAAGAAAAGACUACCUUUGAAUUCCUUUUAAUCAAAGGAAUUCAAAGGUAGUCUUUGAAUAAACUUUGGUAUUAGACUUUAGUAUUCUUUUUCCAGGAAUACUACAUGCACAGAACUGUUAAAUGCAGAACUCCAUUUAUCUGCUUAUUUAUUUAUUUAUUAGUUGUUGAUGGACCUUUAUUUUAUUUCCUUAUUUAUAUGUAGUGCUGGGGAUCAAACCCAGUGCCUCACACAUAUGAGGCAAGUGCUCUACUGCUGAGCUAUAACUCCUGUCCCAUGAGCUACAACUCCAGCCCCUGGAAUUUUGUUAAGUCUGCUAUAUGUGUGGAACUCAUGGAUAUAUCUAUGUUUUGCAAAUGUCUCACUGUUAAAUGUCUAUGAUAUGAGCUUUCCUUUUCAUGAUGAAGUUGCAGAAGAGAUCAACCUUUAUGAACACAUUGACAACCAGGUGGGCUUUGUAUGACAGAGGUAUCUGUAUGCCACACAAAACUGUUAGGGAAUAUUUCUAAUAAGAAAAAUGUCUGAUAUUUUGCAUUUGAGGAAUGAUUAUGAUUCUGUUUAUUGCUUAGAGGGAUUGCUAAAGUACUUUAAAUUUAGCAAAUUUAAGAUAUGGACUUAAUAUAUAAGGAUGGAGUUUUAGCAGCUGGCCCUAUGUUCAGAGAUGGUUUUUAUAUGACUUCCAUGUGAAAAGAUUGAAAGAGUCAUUGGAUCACUGCCCUCAAUUUUUCGAUUUUGGUAUAUGAUAGGAAAUGUUCUUAUAAUAUAUGUAGCAUAUAUAACUAUAUAUCUACCUGUAUGGAUAUGAGUGAUACACACAUAUAUUCAUGUCAUAUAUACAUGGUAUAUAUGCAAGUUUGGGUUUACAUUUUUUUUUGUUUUCAGUUGUUAUGUAUAUGUUCACAUGUUGUUUACAUUUGUAGAUGUGGAGAAUUUUCUGUCACAUUUUGUGAAUAUAUUUUGCAUAAAAUAAAUAGGAUAAAUAAAAAAAUAAAAUAAAUUAUAGGACAGAAAGUGGUUUUUUUUUGUUAAUUGAAAUUCAAUUAACAAAAUGCAAAAACCCAAGCCUCUAUUUAGAAGGAUUUUUACACAAAUAUGUAUAUAUAGUUAGUACGUUUUAAAACAUGUUUCAAGAAAUGUAUGACUUCUGAAAUCCUUCUUGCAAUUAAUCAAUCCAUAUUUCUGUGUUAUGAAUCAUUAUUUGUGAUUAGAGUCAUUUUGUAAAAUGAUUCAUUAUCUUUGCUCUUAACUUCUUUUGCCUUUUUUUGUCUGUGAGGAGGCAUGAACACACUCUGUGUUGAGCUAGAAUUAACUAAAUGUCAGCAUCACAUCUGUGUGUUCAUGUGUGUGGACGCAUGAAUGUGUAGUAUGUGGAUGUGUGAGUAUAUACAAAAAGUAUACAUUUAUAUGUUUUGAACAUUUUCCCCCAGAAUGUCAUUGCUGAUGCAUAUACAUUUUGGAAAAUAACCUUUUUAAAUUAAUACAGCCAUGUACUUUUGUACAUAUUAAAAUUUAUUGUUGGAAGGUAUAUGGAAAGGAUGGAUUUUUUUUAUGAUCACAGUUUCAUGUACAUGUACAAUCCUUUUGCUUACUUCUGUUUUUGUUUUGGUAGAGAUGGUGAACAUUUAUAUAUUGCAACCAUUACUUUGUUAAACUGUUAAACUAGUUGAAAUAUAAAUAAUUAUAAAUGACUUUAACAGCAUUAGGUGGUUAGCUUUUGGGGGUUUAUUUAAUAUCUGUAAUAGAUGCUUUAUAAUAUUUCAUCAUUUUUAGAUGCAUGUGAGUUGAUAAGAAUUAGAAAAAGAAGAAAUAUUUUUCUUUUAAUGGUAAAGUAUUAUUUUACCUUUUGGAAAAACGUGAAUAUAUUUCUGUGGUUGUACAAAUUACUUGUAUAUUCCAUUGACAAGCUUCUGUGCUUGCAUGUUAUUAGUAUAUAUACUGUCCUGUUAGAGAAUAUAGUGGUAUUUUACCACAUUUACAAGUAAAAUUAGAUUAUCAUUCCAGGGUAUCCAUUUAAUGUAAAUACAAUGUGUCUAUGUAAUAGAUAAGUAGACAUAUCUUAUUUUGCUAAACUUACGUUCAUGAUGCAAUUCUUUCUUCUUACAUGUUUUAUAGAAUUUCUAAAUUUUGUGGUUCUUUUUUUUUUUACUACAUGGCAAAAAACCACAACUUUAUAAAUAAUGGGGAAAUAAUUUUUUUAUUUCAAACAUGUAUUUCUAGCGUCUCACAAGUAUAAAUUUUGUAAAUCCACAAAAUUAGUAGUGCUAUGGUCAUUUUUGGUUAAUGUGGCAGUUAAAUUGGUUAUUCAUAAGUAGCUCUUAGAGCUAGAAAAAUUUAUCAUAUAUUAAUAUAGAUGUUAGAAGGAGAAAAUAAGAAAAUCGGAAGACACUAUGCAAUUAAUUCCAUUUCCAUGGAAGUCUACAGUUUGCCAUGUCUGAAUUGCAUAUUUAAAAAUACUCAAAUGAAAUAACAGUUAAAUCCAGUCGUCUUUUCUGGAUGUUCCAAGCUUCCUUAUAUCUUUUUUUCCCCUUUACUGUCAACAUUCAAGAUAUAAAUGAUUAAAGAGAGUUUGUACUACCUCUUGGAACUAUACAAUGUUCUGUAUCUGUUCCCUUGGUUGCAUGACAAUAUUCAAGACAACUUUGUAAAUAAUGGUAAAGCCAAAAUUUUAAUUUUCAACAUCUAGUUGUCCUUCUAGAUGUAUAGAGUCUCACAAAGUAUAAUUUUGUAAAUAAGUCAUUGUAAAAUUUCAUGAUUUGAUUGUUCUUUGAAAUUUUUUGCCAAUGAAAUACACAAAGUUGUGGGUUUUAUUAAAUAUCUGUUUAUUGAGUUAUGGGAAGGAAAAGGUUAAAAUAUGUGUAUUUUAAGCUUUUGAGUUUCCAUCAAAAGAAAAAAAAAUACAUUUUAACCAUAGUUAUUUGCUUGUAUUAUAUACUUAAAACUUCAUAAGUUUGUAGUUGUAUUGCUACAUUUUAAUAGUAUUUUUUAUAAGCAUUGUAGAAAAUGCCUUUUAUAAAAAAAAUUUCCUUCUACCUCUUCGACCUAAUAUAGUAUUAUAUGUUCUUGGACUGCAUGACAAAAUUCAAGACAACUUUGUAAAUACCAGUUACCCUUGUCAUUUGAAAAUAACUAGUUUUGCCAGGUGCUCUGGGUCUCAAGAAAGUAUAAAUUUGUAAAUAUUUCAUUGUAAAACUCCAUAGUUAAAUUGAUUGCUGUAAAUGCUUUUACAGUCCAUUGGUUAAUUAAUAUAAAGACAAACAUUUUGCUGUUUUGUGAGAGAGCAAUAGGUAAAUUGUGUCUGCAUCUCCUCAUUGAUCAGGAUCAUUGCUGUUUGUGUGAAUUAUAUAUUUAAACAAUUACCCUGGCAUACAGUUUGACCUGAGGUACCAAGUAGAAGAUAUGAGAAGGAAAUUCCCAUUUUAAAAAAGAGAGAAUUAAAAAGAUUGGUACAAUUAUUGUUACCUGGUUAUAUUUAUUCUCUGCGAAUUUACUUGCAUGUACAUGCCUUUGAAAUCAUGUUUUAGUUAAAUAGUUGGGAUAUUGCUCAUUCCAGCUUUUCUCAUUUGUUUAAUGAUUUAUAUUUUAUUUUACUUUAAUUUUUAUAUUUUUGCUUUGGAUUGUUCCCAGAGACUCAUGAAUGAUAUAGGCUUGUGCUCUGCCACUACGCUAUAGCCCCAGGCCUUUUUAUUUUACAAAUGAUGAAACUUUUAUUUUUUAGCUUGAACAUACUUCUAGAAUCCAAUUUAUUAUUAUUUCUAACUAUAAUUUUAUAGUAAUACUAAGCUCUAUUACUUUGAAUUCCAAAUCUGUUUCCAUGUUUGUAUAUCCCUGUGAGAACAAAACAACAAUAAUUAUGAAUAGUUUGUUUUUUCUGAUAUUAUUUUUGAAAUUUUCUUGUGACCUAUAUAUAAUUCAUGUAUGUGAUAAUCAAAGACAAGUCAUGUUACCUGUUACAUAAAGAAGGAUUUUUUUAAAAUAAAAAUUCUGGUGUUGAUCAAAGUAUAGAUCCUCAUUUUUUGAAUAGAAUUUGGUAUAGAUCAUCAAAUUCUGUGGGUAUCAAAUAUUUUAAAUGUAAUAAUUGGCUAUUGGAAUAGCCAAUUUCCAAAUGUUGGAAUACUUAAACAUUUGCUAGGAAGAAAGUAUUAUGUGUUUACUUUAAAAACAUAAUGUAAACAACUGAAGUAUCAACCAUUGAAAGAAAGAUUGUAUUUAUUAUAGCUUACUCAACAUCAAUGUAACUUUUGCACAGAAAUAUUUCAAUAUUGAUGUAGGUUUUGAAGUAUUUUGAGUUGAACAGAUAUUGAAUAAUUGUUUGUUAUAGAUUUGAAUGCUUAUGCCUCUUUGUCCUAGCUGAAGUAUUAAUGGUUAACUAUAAAAUAUUUAUAACAUUUUGGAAAUGAGAUUUUUAUAGUGAGGUAAUAUUUCCUAUUGUUAAAAUGUUAUUUUAUAAUUCUGUUGGCAUUUUUAUAUAUGAGUUAAAAUUCCAAAGAUCCAUCCACAUUUGUAAAUUGCUACAUGCAAAAAAUCUAAAAUGAAUAUGUCUAAUGGAAAUAAAAAAGUUGUCUGGAAGAAUAAGGUAAAAACUUACCAGUCCUCUGUAGAGAGAUGAGAAUAGAAGGAGUGUUUCUUUUGUCUUCUUUUAGUUUUUAUAAAGGUAUUAAAACAUGAACAAUUAAACAAGAAAGAAGUGUUAAGGAGACAGUUUGUACUUAUUUUCAUUCUUGCAACUCACCAUCGUUGGAGCAUUUGGUUGUCAUAUCCAGCUUUGUCUUCCCAGAGUCCUUUGUGAAUGAUUUUUUUCAAUGAUUUUAUGAAGAGUAUGCAAUUUAAGAGAAUAAAUAGUAUUGGAUUAUCCAAGAAAAGAAGGAAGAAGAUGGAAUUAUAGGUAUUCACAAUGAGAGAUAUAUUGAAGGUAACUUGAGUACAGGUGAUGAAAUCAUCUUCCUUUGGAGUCCUUAAUUUUUACAACUUAACUGCAAAGCAUAGGUAAGAAGAUUCUGGUGCCAUUUUCAGAUGAUAGUUUCAAGAAAGAAUACUUCUGUCAUCCUUGGUUUUAAUCCUGUGAAUGAUAUGUACUAGCAAUGAAAGAUCUGUUGGAGUAAUUUAAUUCAUGUGUUCUUCACUCCUAUCUCUCACUUGGCGGGAAUUACUGGAAAGAAAUGCAUGCCAUUGUUUUUACCACCUUCUUCCUCAAAACUAAAAUAUGUUCUGCAUAAUGAAUGAAGACUUUAUACUUAAUGUGUGUUGCAAUGGACACUCCUUGCUCAUCAGAAGAACUGAACUCAGAAAGCUUGUUUUUGAAAAGAGACCUAAAAUAUAGCCCAGAAAAUUCUAAUACUUAGUUGUAUUAAUUGUCUUUAUUGUUACUGUUGGACUUUAUCUCAGGAAGUGCAAUGGAAGAAACAUUUGUGUCCAGAGAAGUUUUCCAUAAGUAUAAAGUGCAUGCAUUUAUAAUUAUCACUUAUGACAGGAUAAAUUUGAACAUGACUUUAAAAUAUUAAAGAAUGCAGAAUCUUGUGAA